AUUGAUUGUUUUUUAUAUAGAAAAGGUUGAAGUGGUCCACUGGUGUUCCGAUUCAUCAACCCCGCCUUCAGGUUCUUCUCCAACCUAAUUUUUCUCAAAUUAAAGCCAUAAAGGUAGAAAUUUUUUUUUUCUGUUUAAUUUUCAUAUGACAAUCACAGUUGUUUGGAUUCCUUGCUUCUCUGACGACCUGAUUGUGAGAUUACUUACUACCAGUUGAAGGUUCAAUGAUCGAAGAUCUGGAAUCAGUCCAACUAAAGGACUUGAACCCAAUUUCCAUGAUUAUCUGACUUCCUCUAUCUUUCUCGUUCUUUCGUUCUGUCAUCUAUAAUUUCUUUUUCGAUUUUUUUUUCAGCAGCCUCCGGUACCCGUGUACACUUCUUGCUGGCCACAACCAUUGUCGUGUUCAGGGCCAUCGACAUGGAUUGCCUGCGAUCAGCGAUAGAGGUGUUGUUUCACCUUUUCACAAAGAGCUUUGUCUUGUGGUUAUGGAGGUUAAAAUGCCCCCCACCAUCGAUGGCGGUUGACUUUUGACUACCUCCUGCCCUUCAGCAUGACUGGAAAUUGAUCCAAACACAAGGAAACCAAUAAAAAAGAAAAUGCUUUUUUUCAAGAAUGGUUCUGUUAUCAUAUAUCGUAUUCAGGCUUUCAACAGCUUGGGUGGUUCACACUUCAUCCUGAAGGUUAGGCGAACCAUGUAUCAAGUUGUGUACGAAAUGGUUGAUAAAAUGAGCUAUAAAGUGAUUUAGUCUUAAGUGCGGUUGGUGCCAACUUUAGUCGUCAUAUCAUCAAUGUUAACACCACAGAGGUAAAUUGACUAUUUUACCCUUAUGGGUUGUGUGAAACUUUAUACAAUAUAAUUGUAUAUUAUAGAUGUGUGACAUUGUUCAAUAAAGUAAAAACGAAACAUUCCUCUGCUUAAGUUUGUAUAAAUUCGUUAAAGAACGAAACAUUCCUCUGCUUAAAUUUAUAAAAAAAUAUGAAAUUUUGUUUA